GAUGAAUGCUGGCGGCGUGCCUAACACAUGCAAGUCGAGCGGUAACAGGAGUAGUUUACUACUUGCUGACGAGCGGCGGACGGCUGAGUAACGCGUGGGAACGUGCCCCAAAGUGAGGAAUAACUGCCCGAAAGGGUAGCUAAUACCGCAUAUGAUCUUCGGAUUAAAGGAUUUAUCCGCUUUGGGAGCGGCCCGCGUACGAUUAGGUAGUUGGUAGGGUAAUGGCCUACCAAGCCGACGAUCGUUAACUGGUCUUAGAGGAUGAUCAGUCAGACUGGAACUGAGACACGGUCCAGACUCCUACGGGAGGCAGCAGUGAGGAAUCUUCCACAAUGGGCGAAAGCCUGAUGGAGCAACGCCGCGUGCAGGAUGAAGGCCUUCGGGUUGUAAACUGCUUUUAUAAGUGAAGAAUAUGACGGUAACUUAUGAAUAAGCACCGGCUAACUACGUGCCAGCAGCCGCAGUA
rnacentral:rRNA from 1 species